ACUAACGGUCACAUUGUUUUGAAAAUUUUUGGAGUGAACGGACCGCGCGCGUCGUUUGCAGCGAGCUAAAAAAAAAAAGUACAACAACAACGGCGGCGGGCGAUUAAACAAAACGCCGCCAAAACACACACAGCGAAAAUAAAUUGUUAUUAUCUGAAAAGGCAAGUGCCACCACCCCUUCCCCCUUCUGAGUGUGUUUGUGUGAGCAGCGGCUGCUAUAUAUCUGAGUGUGUGUGUGUGCGCGAGUGGUUUUGUGUGCGAAAAUGCAUUAAUUCACCAAUACGAAGGCAGAUGCAGCAACAACAUCAGCAACAACAUCAGCGAGAGGAAUAUUGCAAGCGUUAAUCGAAAUACAGUAAAAUACAAGAAAAACAGGCAAAAGUAAAUUGAUCAACGAGAAAAGCCUACUGAAUGAUAAAAAUUUAAUUUUUUUAUUGUUUUCCAUUCAAAUAUGUGAUGCCUUUUGCCGAAUAAAAAGUCACCCCAUAACCCAGAGUGAAUAAAUUACACGGGAAAAUAACGUAAAAUACACCGAGUGUUAAAUAAAAUCAAAUCGGUACAUUUGGACUCGGUUCGGUUUUUUCGGUUCGACACGCAGAAAAGGCAAAACUCAACGGUCGCGUCGAUACCAUUUUUGGAAAUUAUCGAAAGAGCAUAGCAAAGCCUUUUGCCUCGAAAUAUAACGUGUACAAUGCGUCAGUUUCGAAUAAAGUCCAAAUCGAGUUCACAAUAAUUUAACUACUGAGGCAGCGAAAGAGGAUUCUUACAUGUUCGGCCAAGGAAAGCAGCUCCAAUGGUCACGUAUUUUUGGGUCCCUAUAAAAGAGUUUAUAGAAUUUUAUUGAGGGAAAGAUAGCUCUCAACGCUCUCAAUGGUAAGAAUGGAUAACUCGAUUGAAAAUCAUCUUAAAUGGAGCAAAUAAUCCAUUCACGGAAAUAAUGUGAUUAACCAAUAAAAGCCCAUGUAUUUUGAAAUUUGGGUAUGUGUUUAAAGAAGUGCAUAACUAAAUGUCCAAUUAAAGAAAAAUUACCAUAAUUAAAUGUCUAAUUAAAGGGAAAUAUGCCUGUACCAAAAAAAAAAACGCCAUAAUUUAUCAACUAAAAAACCAUAUAAAUAAUCAAAAUAAAAGUGGUUUUCAGAAUUUUCCAAUACA
rnacentral:sRNA from 1 species